AACGAACGCUGGCGGCAGGCCUAACACAUGCAAGUCGAGCGAGACCUUCGGGUCUAGCGGCGGACGGGUGAGUAACGCGUGGGAACGUGCCCUUUGGUACGGAAUAGCCCCGGGAAACUGGGAGUAAUACCGGAUGUGCCCUUUGGGGGGAAAGAUUUAUCGGCAAAGGAUCGGCCCGCGUUGGAUUAGGUAGUUGGUGGGGUAAUGGCCUACCAAGCCGACGAUCCAUAGCUGGUUUGAGAGGAUGAUCAGCCACACUGGGACUGAGACACGGCCCAGACUCCUACGGGAGGCAGCAGUGGGGAAUCUUAGACAAUGGGGGAAACCCUGAUCUAGCCAUGCCGCGUGAUCGAUGAAGGCCUUAGGGUUGUAAAGAUCUUUCAGAUGGGAAGAUAAUGACGGUACCAUCAGAAGAAGCCCCGGCUAACUCCGUG
rnacentral:rRNA from 1 species